rnacentral:tRNA from 1 species
UUAAUUGAAGCCAAAGGAGAGAGGCCCCUUAAUGUUAAUAAGGUGAUUGAUUUUAUUCCAAUUAAA